GCCGGGGUGGUGGAAUCGGUAGACACACAAGACUUAAAAUCUUGCGGGCAUAAGCCUGUACGGGUUCAAAUCCCGUCCCCGGUA
rnacentral:tRNA from 2 species